AUGGAGGAGGAACCGUCCGCCAAGCGUCACCAUGGCGAGACUUCGAACAAGAGCAACAACCUCGUCGACGUUCACGUCCCCGACGAGAAGCACGAGUACACCAAAACGCUCAAAGGGGUUGAGCUCCACGGCAAGGAGACAUUGGAGAUCGUCUGCACCAACAUACCAAACAAGGCCGAAGAGGUGAUGAAGGGCGGCGGCAUGUAUCCGAGCUUCAUCGGAGUUGAUGUGGAGCCCUAG
rnacentral:rRNA from 1 species